rnacentral:misc_RNA from 1 species
AUGAUAUAUUUCUACGAAAAAGUGCUUGACUACAAAGAAAAGCAAAUGGAUACGAACUAUGUCGAAAUAAAAACAUCAAUGAUAGCUCGACUCCAGGAGAGUUAUAGUUCGGAUAAUGUAACCAGCGGAGGUGCAAUAUCUAAUAGUUGGAACAGGUUCUUCAUCGAGCACUCCGUGGUGUACCACAGCAGGCACAUGUCAGUCAACUGCAUCCCAGAUCCCAAAGACCUGUUGCAAUUAUGUCUCGGAGGACGAUUAUGGAAGCGCACCAAAUACCUGUCAUUCAUCUGUCAGUCCUGGAACAUUUAA